rnacentral:lncRNA from 1 species
AUUAUAGCUGGUUUACAGUGUUCUGUCCAUUGUCUACUGGGCAACACGGUGACCCAGUUACACGUACAUGUAUAGAUUCUUUUUUCCCACAAUAUCAUGCUCCAUCAUAAGUGACUAGAUAUAGUUCCCAGUGCUACACAGCAGGAUCUCAUUACCUCACGCCAGUCAGAGCGGCCAUCAUUACGAAGUCCACAAAUAACAAACGCUGGAGAGGGUGUGGAGAAAAGGGAACCCUCCUGAACUGUUCGUGGGAAUGUAAGCUGGUACAACCACUAUGGAGAACAGUAUGGAGGUACCUUAGAAAACUAUACAUAGAACUAUCAUAUGCCCCAGCAAUCCUACUCUUGGGCAUAUAUUCGGACAAAACUUUCCUUAAAAAAGACACAUGCACCUGCAUGUUCAUUGCAGCACAAUAGCCAAGACAUGGAAACAACCCAAAUGGCCAUUGACAGAUGGUUGGAUUAGAAAGAUGUGGUAUAUAUACACAAUGGAAUACUACUUAGCCAUAAAAAGAACAAAAUUAUGCCAUUUGCAGGAACAUGGCUGGAACUUGAGACUCCCCAGGGCAGCAUGGAAGGAAGACUCACUAUGUACCUAAAGGGAAGACACAACAUCCUUUGCAUCCCUGCUCUACAGAGUGGUUCCAGGACUUUUCAGGUCAGCAGUGGCUUUUCAAAGCUCCAGCAGGGAGGAGGCAUUGGUAUGAGAUCUGGGGAGCUGCCAGGUGAAGGUGAAAAAGCUCAGGACGGGGCGUGGUCUCAUCCCAGCUUGGCCAUAGACUGGCCAACUAUCAGUACUUGCCAGGAGGAUUUCAGUGUCCUCAGAUACAUGAACUGGCUGCCCUCAGAUGGUCUCUCAGGCUCUUUGCACUGUUAAAAAUCCAUCCUCCCCGUUACUAAGAUGCCAGACCCAUCCAGGAAAGGAGUGGUGGAAUAAAAAGCUGGGAAUGGGGAAACCUGUGUCACAAAAGUCUUUGCCUUUUUUCCCAUGUGAUGUGCUCUUUAAGCUCUAGACCACGCCUGAGAAGAAUUAGAGUUAGGCAGCUCAAGGUCAGGCAAGAUGUGGAUUUGGAUGGUGGAUCAGUGGGACAUUACCUGGCACAGCACUUUCUGUCGUGAUGAGAGAACCGGGAGACUCAGAGCACACAGGUGACUCAGAGAGCAGGUGGAUCAGGAAGGGAGGCUUCUGCAGGAUAGGUUCACAUGAGGAGCAUGGAGCCUGGCACAUGGAGCGGGGCUCUUGGUCUCCAAAUAUUCUAGGAAACUGCUUUCCUCAAGUUCAAAUAGGUAAAGUUUAGUUGUGUAGGUGGAAGGCAGGGGUUGCCAUUUAUUCAUGCCCCACAUCCUGCCCUUGUGUUCACACUGCUGAUGAGAGAGAGAUCUCCUCCACACUUGGACUUGUGCUGACCCAGGGAACUCGGAGAAGAACAAACAGACUCAGCCAGGAGACCCAGGAUGAGGUUCUUCCAUAAGCCCCAUGGGAGCAGGGAAGAUCCGGGGAGGGAAGCCUGAGCCUCAUGGUGUACGAGGGCAUUUUAGUGUCAACCCUGGACGACAGAUGCCCUUCUGCCCUUCUAGACCCAGGUGCAUGUCCCUCACAGCAAGGGCCAGAGAAGCACACGGGGAGGUGAGAAAGCAGCCUGGGAAGUGGUGGUGGUGGUGUCUCAGAGGUCAGCAAAGAGGAAGGAAAAGAAUCUUGAUGGUAAGGGAGCUGGAGGAGGAAACUUUGCUUUCAGAUCAGGCAUCUGCCACGAACUGGCCUAGCCAUUAGGUGUGUUCUGUCCCUCCCCUAACUUCAGGCUCCUUUUCUAUGAAUCUGAUGCAAAAUGUCCUGAGUCUCUUCUGGGCUGACACCCAGAGUGCUCUCAGCACAAACACACACACACACACACACACACACACACACACACACACUUCCUGCACAUGCAACACCCACACAUCUAUACUCUUGCACACACACACACCCAUACACACCCACACUCACAAUUCACAGACUGGCUUACAGACACACACUUCCUGCACAUGCAACUGCCCCCCUCAACACACAUUCAGACAGGCUCAAAGACACUUCCAUGCACAUGCAACACUGACACACUUAUGUUCAUGCGCACACACACACACACACACACACACACACUGCUUUACAUGUUCUUUCACCACACACACUCUCAUGCACACAAACUUGUAUGUGCAUAUUGAUUUGGGUAUAGGUUACAUACUGAAGUCCAAAUCUUCAGAAAGCUGUAACAAACCAAUCAGAAAACUAAAAUAAAAAUCAUCUGCAGUGUUUUAUGCACUUGCGAUCCUCUCGUUGCCUCUGGUUUAGCCCCAUUCUCCACAGCAGAGGGCCAGACACUUUGGUUUUUACCUAGGCUUUUUUGCCUUGUUGCUGUUUCAGGGCAACAAGGCAUUAAGAAAAAAGAACAAAAGCAAAGAUAUUUAUAAGAGAGAAGAAAGCCCUUCCACUCCCAGCCAUGGGGGGUGGGGAAGAAGGAUUUUUGGAGUGUUCUUUGAGAAUAUUUGUAUAAAGUACUGCAUGUUCUUGUUUACUUUCUGUGGAGCCCCAUUUCCUCCCCAGAAUUCCUGGUCGUCAGACUCACCAGUUACAGGGCUCUUCGGAUGAAAAUCUGAGACACAGAAAACACACACAUGUGGCAGGGCUGGGGCAUCCUCGUCUCUCAGUAUCCUCUGAGAUCUGGGGCAUUUCUGGAUCAAGCAUCUACCUUGCUUCUCCCCUCCCUCUGACCUGACCCCAGAGCUGCAGAGAAAAGCUGAGGGACAUCUCUGGGGGUCCCACCCGGAGACACCAGUGGAUCCUGUGGGUAGCAGUUCAUGGAAGCCAUGCAGAAAUGGAGGCUCCCUGCCCCUGGACACCAGGGAGGGGACUGGCUACCCAGGGUGCCUUGCUGGAACUGUCCCCUCUGAGGCAAUCCUAAUGUCCUCAGGAUAAAGACAUGUCCUGAGGUCUCAUGUUCAGUUACAAAAUGCUUUACCAUUUCUUACUCUGUGUCACUGGCACAUUUCUGUAACUGGACAGACCCCCGUUUUAUAGAUCAGAGAGGCUAACUUGCCUAAAAUGACACAGUGAGAAGGAAGAGAGCUUAAACAUGGGUUUGCAUUUUCUAAGCCUAAACUACCCCUAUUUCCAUUGACUUAUGGAUAAUAAAGAAUAAUUAUGAGGAAUAAUAAUAAGAAGCUAACAUUUUACCAGUCUACCAAAUACAUGGUACCAUUUUAGGUACGUUCUAGAGAUCAACUCAUUUAAUCCUCACAACCUAAUGAGGUGGGCACUUUCAGAAUCCCCAGGAAGCAAAUGAAGAAAUCAAACCCCAAAGGGUCAGGAAACGUGCCUGAAGCCACCUGUUAAUGAAUGAAGAAGUGGAUGCCACGGUCUAGAAACCACUGCAGUCCAGAGAAAGCGUGGGGGUCACCACCACUCCCUCUGGGGUUUCAAAUGUGCUCCACCCCUUCCAGCUGGGUUUCAAGGUCCAACCUCACAUGCACUUCCUUCUAUCCUGUGUGUACACAGGCUUCACCCACCAAUGACAGCUGACUUUCUCCCCAAGGAUCUGAUCAUUGAUCCAAUUAUGGGUUUGUUGCAAAUGGAAAUUAAUGUCAUUUGUCCUCCCCUUUAUUUUUGCUUUUUCCACUGAAGUGGCUAUUAUGGUUACAUACACCAUACAAGAAUUGUGGUAACGUUGUUUCUAAAUUAAUUGCUACCUAAGAGUUUUCGAUUUUCACUUUUUGUGGUAAUGGUGGCUACCAACAGGGAACCUGCAAUUACGGUAAAUGGUUCUUGUCACUGAGGCAUGGGGAGGAGGUGAAGAAGGGAUGGGGCAGGGAGUGCGGGGAGGGCAGGAGCCUGAGAGCAAGGGUCACUUAAAAAAUAUAUCCAGACAAGGAUCCAAUUUCUACAGUAACUGGAAAAAAAACCUUGAGGGUGAAAUUAAAGCAAAUUCAUGAACGUGUUUUUUUUUAAAUUGAGGUUUGUUUUUCCACUGGGCUUUGGGUUGGAUGGAAGGAGUGGUUGGGGGACCCUCUCACCAGCCACUGUGAACUUAAUAACCUGUCAUCACUCUUAUAGACGUGUCAGCCUCUGAGUGGGAGGGUGACUCCAUCCAGAAACCCUGAACAUGGGAGACCCUGUUGUUUAAAAUCUUUCCUUUUGUAGGCAUGCAUAAGUCAUUUCUGACAUUACAUUGAACAGGUCUAAUUUAGUGUUUUUGACAAAAGGAGUCUCCAGCCCCAUUGUGGUGAGAAGGGAGUGAAACAGAGUCACGUUAAAUAAGAUGCCUAGGAAUGGUGUCAGUGUAACAGCAAGAGUGACUAAUAGAUGGUAGUACCCAGGUCCUCUGAAGCCACAGCAGCAUCUUCACUGCUUGACGGAAGAGCUGUGAUUUGGGGAGUGCAAGAACCAUGCUCUCUUCAGGCUGUGAACAUGAGUGUUUGCUUCCAAAGCAGCUUCCAUCAAAGACGGUUGCAACUCACUAUGUCACACAAUUGCCUGUUCCAGAGAAAGAGUUUCUUUCCAUUUCAGAUCAGAGUGAGUUUGGAGGCCUCCUAAAUGCAGCUGCUAAGUCUGGGCAAGCUAGAGAAUCUGUGGAUGGCUCCCCUUCCCCUAAGCCUUCUCUCUCCAGAAUCUGGACAUCCAGGAAGAAUACUGCUCAGCCUUUCUGGGAUGUUGAAUUUCCCUCCCCAGCCUAUACUCUGGAUGCAGCUCUCUGCAGCCUCCCUGGAUCCAGAAUGUCCAGAAGGCAAGCUGUACAGCUGCUUGGAUCUAGGACUCCAUCCGGAUCUGGCUGCUGUGUCUGAGCAAGAGAGAUGGUUCUAAGCUCACAGCAGGGCUCUGGGUGGCUUAUUGCUUUGGUCCUGAGAUGCUUUUAGAGCAAUGCAACUUUCUACAGGGACCCUUAGGUCCCAGGAAGGAUGGAGCAAUCAGAAGCGAGGCUGGGAAGCUUUAGAAAUUGAAGUCUCGAGUUCCUGUUGUGGUGCAGCAGAAAUGAAUCCAACUAGGAACUAUGAGGUUGUGAGCUCCAUCCGUGGCCUCGCUCAGUGGGUCAAGGAUUCCACGUUGCCAUGAGUUGUGGUGUGGGUCGCAGACAUGGCUCAGAUCUGGUGUUGCUGUGGCUCUGGCAUAGGCUGACGACUACAGCUCUGAUUAGACCCCUAGCCUGGGAAACUUCAUAUGCCGUGGGUGUGGCCCUAAAAAAAAAAAAAAAGAAAGAAAUUGAAGUCUUAGUUAAAAUGCCCCUUUGGCAUGAUGCUCUUAAGAGUCUGAAUCUGAGAAAGGACCCUCUGAAAACAGUGACUUGUGAAGCCAUUAGUGGAAAGGCUUCAAGUGGAAGGAGGUGGCUCUGCUGCCAUUGACAAAACUUAUACUCUGCAUCCUCACAGAGAAAAAUCCAUUCUUGAUCCCACCUGCCCUUCAGGUGGCCAGGACCGAAUUUUCAAUUCAAGGCUAAGACUGUCUAGAAUGUUCUUUCAUGCUUAGUCCAGCUGACAGUAUUGCUAUGGGGGUGCAUAUGAGGACAGCCAUGGGCCUUGCUCCCAGGCACCCCCUCCCCAAUCCCCAGGUGGUCUCUGGGGGAGGAAAUUUCUGGAACAUUCUAACUCUGCAGCAGGGUGUCCAUGAAGCAGGUACUGCAGUGAGGCGGGUGGCCUGACCUGGGGAAAACGUCAGUGACUCACCUGAGGGUGAGAAACUGCCCUUUGUGAUUUGAAAAAGUAAUGCUGACAAAGAGCUUUGUCACUUCUGAACUUUGUCCCCUCCUUAGGGAGCACUAAAUUCACAUAUAUUAGGAAGAAGCCAUAUUUGGGUUUACAUCCAGUGAAAACAAUUCAGGAACUACACAGGCGAUUCUGCAACAGGUCUUAGAGUGGCGAAAUCAAGAAUGAAAAGUUCUCUCUCCCUGUUUAGAAACAAUUGGGCAAAAAGGUCUAAGUCAGACAUUUCAUAUCACAGUCUUCUGCCUGAAGAGGGGGUUCAGUUUUCAUUUAUCUCUUGUGUUCUUUGAAGUGCAAGCCUCCGUCUGCUUAAUGCCCUAAACCAGAGAGACUAUGAUGGGAUUCCUUUUACAUUAAACAAAUCCAAGUCUGGAAAGGCAGUAAUAUUUCUAAACAAGUAAAACCCAGCCAUGACUUUGGCUUUUGCAAAGCUUGAGAUGGUUAUCCAGGACUGUUGCUAAUGGGGCAAAAAUUUAACCUGCAUCUAGUGAGGAGCUGACGGAGGUGACUGGAGACUCUCUGAUGGGUCAUCCAGCCAUAAACCCACCUCCUUUUUGAAUCCAUUCUAUAUGCAAGGUGGUCUGUCUCCUUCAGGGUCUGAGAAAAUUAAAAAAAAAAAAAA